rnacentral:rRNA from 1 species
UACGGAGGGGGCGAGCGUUAUUCGGAAUUAUUGGGCGUAAAGGGCGCGUAGGCGGCCCGGUAAGUCAAAGGUGAAAUCCCUCGGCUCAACUGAGGAACUGCCUUUGAAACUGUCGGGCUUGAGGCCGGGAGGGGGUAGCGGAAUUCCCAGUGUAGCGGUGAAAUGCGUAGAUAUUGGGAGGAACACCAGUGGCGAAGGCGGGUCUCUGGGCCGAUACUGACGCUGAGGAGCGAAAGCGUGGGGAGCAAACAGG